CGUGAUUGAUGCCGGGUCCUUCCUUGUGUGGAAAAAAAAAAAAAAAAAAAAAGGAAAAAAAAAGGGAGGAAUAACAAUAAUAAUCACGCUGUGGGCAGCGCUGGGUGAGGAAUCCCCGGCCCAGCAGCCCCACGGAGCAUUGUGCAAAGCACCACAAUUGAGAAUUUUCCCCUUUUUCCCCUGUUUGCUCAGAUAAUGCGUUUUUCGGUAGGUUACUGCCCAAAGUUCCCCGCAAUUUCACACAAAGAGCCGAGCGGAUUCCGGAGCCCACCCCAUCCCACCGCCAUCCUCCUUGGCCAGAAGGGCAGAGCGUUUAACGGGGAGGAGAGCCGGGCCCAGGGAGCGGAGCCGGGACAGCAGCGCCGGGCACGGGGCGAUGCCGAGGGACCCUCGCACCAAAGCCAGGGAACCUCCGGGCUCUGGGAAGGAGCAGAUGGACGGGCUGGGCUGGGGAGCACCUGGGCAGGAGCAGCGCCGUGGUUUGCACAGCUGGGCACAGCUGGGCACAGCUGGCCCCACGGAGCGGAUCCCCAAAACCUCGCGAGAUGGGGUUUAUAAAUCCCCAAAGCCCCGCGGGAUGGGGAUUUUGUACCCCCAAAAUCCCGUGGAUUCGGGUUUUUAGAUCCCCAAAACCCCGCGGGACGAGUUUUUUUGUACCCCCAAAACCCCAUGGGAUGGGAUUUUUUAAAACCCCAAAACCCUUCAGGAUUGGGGAUUUUUGUACCCCCAAUCCCCGCGGGAUGGGAUUUUUUUAAACCCCCAAAACCCUUCGGGUUGGGUUUUUCGUACCCCAAACCCUGCGGGCGGGCACGCCGCGCUGCCCGAGCCCGGCGGAGCGCUCUGAAGCGCCGCUUUCCCGCCCGCCCGCGCGCGGUGAUUAACGGAUUAACAGAUUAACAGAUUACCAGCCGGGCGUUAAUUCCGGCAGCCCGGAGCCGAGGGGAGCGGCCCCGCCGUGCGCACCGGGCUGGAGCCGGGCCCGCGUCCCCCGGGAGCCGCUCGGUGUGAGUGAAUCACGGCGCGCGGACAGCGCCGGCACCGGGGCCGCUCCGGUGACCCUGGGGGAGCCCGGGACCCCCGGGUGGGUGUACAGGGCCCGGCAAGCGCGGAGGGGGCUCCGCACCCCGGGAACCCCGGUACCGGGGAGGCUCCGAACCCACAGAGCCCCGGCGGCUGCGGGGCCGCGCACGGAACA
rnacentral:lncRNA from 1 species